CGCCUGACAAUAACGAAACUCGGUCUCUCGCUGCUGUUUCCAUUGCUUUCGGUGUUUUAAUGCGUGCGCGCUGAACAUUGACACAUUCAAAUACUGAAGUGGAGGGAGUUGCCAUGGAAACUCAAUGACUGACAAGCUGCUUUCGUUCAUUGAGAUGGUGUAGUGUCUUCAAACAAGUCCGUUAACAUCUUAACCGGUUUCAGAGGAGGUAGGCUAAUAGACUUAGCUUUUCAUGAA